GUCCGCGUUUAAGGUAGUAGGUGGUGUGCUUAGGCAAAUCCGGGCACACAUACACUGAGAGCUGACGACGAGUCCCUACGGGGAUGAAGUGGUUGAUGCCAUGCUUCCAGGAAAAUCUUCUAAGCUUCAGGUUAGCAGGAAUCGUACCCCAAACCGACACAGGUGGUCGGGUAGAGAAUACCAAGGCGCUUGAGAGAACUCGGCUG
rnacentral:rRNA from 1 species